rnacentral:sRNA from 1 species
GGGUCCGCGGCGCGGUCGGUCGGCGCCUAUUCUCGGGCUCUUUGGCGGGUGAAUCAGGUCUAGGAAAAUCGACUCUCAUAAACAGCCUAUUCCUAACUGAUCUCUACCCAGAAAGAGUCAUACCUGGAGCAGCAGGUAAAAACAUUCCUAUGUUACUGUAAGUGUAAUUCUACAUGAAAGAUGCUGAAGACUGCCUAAUUAAUAUUUUAUGUCUUAGCUCUGUGUUUUGUUUGUUCUUGUUCAGCUUUGAACACAAAGAAAACACUUUUGUGGGGUAGGUGUGCUGCACCGAGGUCCUUGGAUUUGGGUAGUAGACUUCUUUGACACGUAUCCAUGGAUCCAUCCUCUCUGAGUUUAUUUUGUCUGUAAAAUGUAAUACGUAGUUUCUGCCUAUAUUAAAUAUUUGAUGGAAGGAUUAAGUGAGAAUGUUUUACAUCAAAAGUGCUGUGUAACUAGAAGAUUACUAGGAUAGAUGUUCUAAUUCAUCUACUGUCAGAAAGUUCCAGCACAGAACACCAGCAUCCACAAAUGACUGUUGAAUGAAUUAGGCACACAUAGUGAGAGCC